UCGGGAAUAUUGCGCAAUGGAGGAAACUCUGACGCAGUGACGCCGCGUGCAGGAAGAAGGUUUUCGGAUUGUAAACUGCUUUAGACAGGGAAGAAAAAAGACAGUACCUGUAGAAUAAGCUCCGGCUAACUACGUGCCAGCAGCCGCGGUAAUACGUAGGGAGCGAGCGUUAUCCGGAUUUAUUGGGUGUAAAGGGUGCGUAGGCGGGAAGAUAAGUUAGUUGUGAAAUCCCUCGGCUCAACUGAGGAACUGCAACUAAAACUGUCAUUCUUGAGUACUGGAGAGGAAAGUGGAAUUCCUAGUGUAGCGGUGAAAUGCGUAGAUAUUAGGAGGAACACCAGUGGCGAAGGCGACUUUCUGGACAGAAACUGACGUUGAGGCACGAAAGUGUGGGGAGCAAACAGGAUUAGAUACC
rnacentral:rRNA from 1 species